AAAUUGAAGAGUUUGAUCAUGGCUCAGAUUGAACGCUGGCGGCAGGCCUAACACAUGCAAGUCGAACGGUAACAGGAAGCAGCUUGCUGCUUUGCUGACGAGUGGCGGACGGGUGAGUAAUGUC
rnacentral:rRNA from 5 species